AGCACCUGCAGGCGAGGCCCGGGAAGGGGUGUGGGGGCCGCCCCAGGUGGGUCCCCCUCGCUGCCCACCUAGAGCCUCCCUCCGGACAGGACCUCAGCUGAGACCCAAGUGCUGACCCGGACAGUGGCCGUACCUCAUAGUGGUCCCCCGGACAGAGGCGUGCAUAGCCCACCAAGCCUGGAACACAGAAAGAACUCGCCCAGGUGGACCUCCAGCGCCCCCUCGAUGAGCCACAUGUCCUGCAAAGCCCCACAGGUGGCUCAGCCAUCGCCCACCCACCUGCUGCAGUGGGGGUGUGGGGCACGGGGAGGCGCCCACCUCGGAGCACUCGUGCAGGCUGCGGCCCAGUUCCUGCAGGCUCUCACGGGACGCGCGGCUCGGUGGGCUCCGGGAGAAGGCACGCUGCAUGUUGGAGGCCCCGUCGCGCAGGCGACACUGGAUGCAGUAGCCCUCGUACAGCUCAUCCACCUGCAGUGGGCGACAGGACAGGCCCCCGCUGCCUGCAGACAGCUCCACACUGAACCCCAGCAGCACCCGGGGCCCCUGCCGUCUGCACAGUGUGCACCCCCAGGCCGGGACCAUGCCUGGCUCAGCUUGUCCACUCUGUCCCACUGCAAAGGGUUGCACAAUAAAAACCAGCAAGGUGGA